rnacentral:rRNA from 1 species
UACGUAGGGGGCAAGCGUUGUCCGGAGUUACUGGGCGUAAAGCGCACGCAGGCGGUCGGCUGCGUAGGUGGUGACAGUCCUCGGCUUACCUGAGGGAGCGCUGCCUAAACGGGUCGACUUGAGGGCCAGAGAGGGACACGGAACUCCGGGUGGAGCGGUGAAAUGCGUAGAGAUCCGGAAGAACACCAAAGGCGAAGGCAGUGUCCUGGCUGGCUCCUGACGCUCAGGUGCGAAAGCUAGGGGAGCAAACAGG